rnacentral:rRNA from 1 species
GACGAACGCUGGCGGCGUGCUUAACACAUGCAAGUCGAACGGUAAGGCCCUUCGGGGUACACGAGUGGCGAACGGGUGAGUAACACGUGGGUGAUCUGCCCUGCACUUCGGGAUAAGCCUGGGAAACUGGGUCUAAUGCCGGAUAGGACCACUGCCUGCAUGGGUGGUGGUGGAAAGCCUUUGCGGUGUGGGAUGGGCCCGCGGCCUAUCAGCUUGUUGGUGGGGUGAUGGCCUACCAAGGCGACGACGGGUAGCCGGCCUGAGAGGGUGACCGGCCACACUGGGACUGAGAGACGCCCCAGACGCAUACGGGAGUGAGCAGGGGGGAAGAUUGCACAAUGGGCGAAAGCCUGAUGCAGCGACGCCGCGUGAGGGAUGACGGCCUUCGGGUUAUAAACCUCUUUCAGCACCGACGAAGGGCAAGUGACGGUAGGUGCAGAAGAAGGACCGGCCAACUACGUGCCAGCCGCCGCCGUAA